rnacentral:rRNA from 1 species
UACAGAGGUGGCAAGCGUUGUUCGGAAUUACUGGGCGUAAAGGGCGCGUAGGCGGCCUACUAAGUCAGACGUGAAAUCCCCCGGCUUAACCUGGGAACUGCGUCUGAUACUGGAAGGCUUGAGGACGGGAGAGGGAUGCGGAAUUCCAGGUGUAGCGGUGAAAUGCGUAGAUAUACGGAGGAACACCAGCGGCGAAGGCGGGUAGCUGGGCCAACACUGACGCUAAAGUGCGAAAGCUAGGGGAGCAAACGGGG